CUGAGCCCUCGGAAGUGGAAUGUAUACUUGGAGGUUCAAGCAGGCUGCUUUCAACUUAGAGAGACAGCUCUCUUGGAAGCCUGUGAAAGAGAGUACACAGGAGGAUAAGACUGUGAGUAAGAACACCAGGAAGACAUGCAAGAGGGGAAACAACUCAUAGAUUUGGAGGACUUCGUAUGUAUGUAGAAUAUCAAGCAGAAGAAAAAAGCAAGACAGGGGAUUAUCAUAGAGAACCAUUUGCAGAAGACUCUAAGAAGUUCCUCCUCUUCUCUACUUGCUGUGUGCAGUUUGACCUCAGCCUCUGC